AGUGAACGCUGGCGGUAGGCCUAACACAUGCAAGUCGAACGGCAGCACAGUAAGAGCUUGCUCUUACGGGUGGCGAGUGGCGGACGGGUGAGGAAUACAUCGGAAUCUACUUUUUCGUGGGGGAUAACGUAGGGAAACUUACGCUAAUACCGCAUACGACCUACGGGUGAAAGCAGGGGAUCUUCGCACCUUGCGCGAUUGAAUGAGCCGAUGUCGGAUUAGCUAGUUGGCGGGGUAAAGGCCCACCAAGGCGACGAUCCGUAGCUGGUCUGAGAGGAUGAUCAGCCACACUGGAACUGAGACACGGUCCAGACUCCUACGGGAGGCAGCAGUGGGGAAUAUUGGACAAUGGGCGCAAGCCUGACCCAGCCAUACCGCGUGGGUGAAGAAGGCCUUCGGGUUGUAAAGCCCUGUUGUUGGGAAAGAAAAGCAGCAGGUUAAUACCCCGCUGUUCUGACGGUACCCAAAGAAUAAGCACCGGCUAACUUCGUG
rnacentral:rRNA from 1 species